rnacentral:rRNA from 10 species
GACCCCAGGUCAGGCGGGAUCACCCGCUGAGUUUAA